GCCGCCGGGCGCUUGCGCCCCCCGGCCCCGGCGGGAAGGGCCCGACCCGGGGAGCGGCGCCGCUGCCGCCGCCGGGAGGAGCCCGCGGCCCGCCGGAAGGAGCCCUCGGUCGGCGGGUGGCUGGCGGCUGCUCCGUCUCGGUCGGCGGUGCGGGGGGUGGCUGGCGGCGCUUCCAGCCAGUCCCCGCCGCGGCUGCCUGAGGAACGACCGGGCCGCGGGAGGGAUGUUCGCCAACCGAGAAGGGUAGCAGGUGGGAAAUGCAGACAGUCAAGCAAAAAACACCCAAAAAAAAAACAACCAACGGAAGAGGAGAAAUCAGAAACAGCCUGAGUUACCACAUGCCCAUCUGUGAACUUGGGAGAGUCAUUGGAAACCCCACUGGAAGCUAUCAUGGGCCCGAGACUCACAAAGACGGGAUUGUACAAAGCCGGUGUGAGAGCUGGCGGCACAGCUGGGGCGGGUGGCACUCACCUCACUUCAACAGGGACUGACUGCGGGGCAAUCCGUGCGAUACCUGAGGAGCGCAACUCUGGCAGCGGCAGCGCCUAUCAGUGCAAGGGGCUCAUUUGCAGCAAUAGGACAAGACUGACUGGUUUUAAUUUGGUCCUGUAAGACAUGCACUGAAACCCCAUAGCAGGAAUACUGAAUCUUGAUCAAGCAGCUACUUAGUCCAAAAAUGAGUGGCAGUCAGAGGUUAAUUAAUUCAGGAUAAGGGAAUGGACCUGUUUCUCAAAGUGGAGCUAAUUGUGGUUUAAAAUUUUCAUGUGCUGGCACUUUGUUGCUAUGUUCACAUCACUUUAGGGAAUGUACAAAUCAUCUCUAAAAACCCUUCUGAUUACUAUGGAAAUACGAAUCAACAAAUAAAUCAAUAAAUCAGUUGCAUUCCUACCAGUACUCUUCUGUUCCCCUGUACUGCUCUAUUUUAUCUCUUCCCCCAUCUUUCAAAUACAUUUUCAGAGCCAAAACACCAUCUACUCAGCAAUAUUCCUUUAAACACAUACUCUUAUUUCACCUCAGUAUUACUGAGUAUCCCAUCUUUUUAUAACAUGGCAAUUCUUUGCAUAUGAAGUCUAAAAAUGCUUGUCUAACUUAAGCUGCCAAAAUCUAUUAUUGCAGUAAUCGCUCCCUCACUGGGUCUGUACAUCAGUGCCUGAGCUGGGAAACUCUCUGUUUCUUCAGUGCAUUAGUAUUGACAAAGCUAGUCCUUCAAAUACAUUUUUAAUAACCUUUUUGUAUGGUGCAAUAUCACUGAAAGUUCACUGCAUUUAUUUUUGUCAGUUCAGAACAGUGGGAUUUAAUAUGAAAGGAUUGAAAAGAUUUUUCUGUUAGUGCUCUUCAUUUUAAGGGCCCCAAAACAUUAAUGCUGUGAACGUUCAAAUUCUGGCCUGAUAAGUAAUCUGGUUUUGCACAUAUUGCAGUUGGGCUAAUGGGAAAAACCAGAAAAGGAGCUUUGUGAAUUGGGAGCACUGCCAAAUUGCAGGGCUCUCCUCUAAGGUUGAUGAUUUUUCCUUCUUUUUUUUUUUUAUUUUUUUAAUGUCACCGUACCAGAGCAGUGGCUAAGGCCACCUUUCGUGUUAUCUGAGACAUCAAAGGGAGGUACCAAGGAUCUGCCUUUUUACUGUUUCCACCUUUUUCAAGUGCUGACGCCCACACCUAACGAGUACAACAUACUGCAAAACCAGCAUCCCUGUGCAGGAGCAGCACGUUAGCCUGUCCUGUGUCGGAGGCUCCAGCUUAUGGCUUUCCAGCGCUUAGAAGCUUUGAGUCUACAUCCAGUCACAUGUAGCCACAAGGUUGCGGGAGGGAUGAAGUCGAGCUGCAUCUGAACCUCCACCUGACAGUCACUAUCUCUGCACCCUGUGACCAGGAACCCCAAUUCUGUAUUUACAAGCCACUGAGAGAUGUAGAGGCCAGGGCUGAGUGGUGGUCGGGUAUUGACGCCCACGCGAAACCUGCAGAAGGAAACCGGCAGCGUUUUUCUCUCUCUUCUCAGAAAUGAGACACAUGGUCUCAGCACAUCCUUAAUGACAAUAAAGAGUUUAUAAACUUCAGUAGUUUACCAGCUGGAAAUUUGUCCAACAGAAACCACAGUUUCCAGUAUCUAGUUAUGAUACUGAAAAACAAAGGCUCUAAACUAGAAAUUAAUUGAUAUGGAAAGAUCUGGAUUUUUAAUUUUUUUUUUUUUUAAAAAAAAGAGUUUGCGAAUAACUACUCCAGCUUCUAAUGUAGAUAGGUUUAAUUUUCCAAAUAUGGGUGGAGAGUGGCUUUUAAAAUUGGCACCUGUACAUGCCACUACAAUUUUCUUGUUGUUAAUGUACUUUUUUAAAACAUGUUCUCAUUAUACCAUUCGCCUGGUUUAUGUCACAGAGGUACUACUGAACCUUGAAAUGUAACUCUUUGGGGACACUUAGCAGUGCUAAGUGCUUGUGCUUUUCGUAUAUUAAGUUAUUAUUACUUAUUUACACAAAUGCCAAAAAGAACUGCAUUAAUAUCACAAUGGUUCCAUUCUUCUGGAAGAAAAAACCUGAGAAAAGUAAUCAUCUGAGCUCCUGGCAGUAUCUUCAGUGAGACUUGUUAAGGGCUAUUCUGACAAAAAGCCAAGUUUCUUGUUUCGAAAAAAGCCCAAAGAAUUCAUUUAAAAUUACAGAAUAAAGUGGCUUGGAGGAGCUAUUAAGCAUUGUACAGUAAAUAAAGUCAGUCUGUUUUUAAUAUAGUAAAUACCACUGGCUGAAAGUCAUGUUUUAGAAUACAUUUAUUUUAAGAAACUACUUAGAUAAUGAAAGUAAAGAAAAUCUAAUUUAAUUUUCAUCAUUUAUGCAGUUCGUUUGCUUUUUCAUUUAAUUCUACUUGGAUAAUGAAAACAGACCACUUUUUUUCCCUUGGCAGUAUCAUUUUUCUGGUUGUCAGGCACUUGCCAAGGCUGCAGCAAUUGGGCUGCAGACACCUCAGGAGAAAUGGUUAAAUCCUGAUUUCAGUGCAGGGGUGAGCAGGGGAAUUCUUGAAAACACAUGUAUGUAAUUUGGCCAGAUGAGAGUCUGCCUGUAACAGCAUUGCUGACAAUCAGCCAAACAGCACAUACCCAGACCGUGAUGGGAAGGUUUGGGUCACACGUUCCAACCCUUGAAGAUCUGUGCAAGACCCAGCUGGAGGUGUUUACACCAGGAGGCAGCACCCGGGGUCUGCCGGGUCCCAGGAGUCCCUGGGUUUGGUUGGGGUCCUGGGGCUGAGCUGCCAUCUGGGCUCCCACCAAGGUGACCACAACUGGUUCAUCUCAGUGCCUGGCUCUGCUAUGUUCAACAUGAUGGGCAGAGCCUGGCAUAAGUGAAGUCGCAUCUGAGGAGUGAGAAAGUCAUCUACAGCUGCAAGGAGAAGAUGUUAAUGUGUAUUAAGACCUAAUGCCAAACAGUGAGAUGCAGGCCACUGUCAGAAGUCUAAUUACCUGUGACAAUCUGGGUGGUAGUUCUUGGAGGACAGUUAAGCACACGCCUCUCAUUUUUAUAAUUUCUAUUAGCUGGAGUAAAGUCCUACACCCAAAGAUCUCUUCACUGUCCUUCAGUGAAACACAGUGACAGACUUUAUGUCACAAAUCAGCUGAAGCUUGAUCCAACAUCCCUGAGUUUCAGGAAGGUCUGGAUUUGAAUUGUCUCUUCUCAGUACAGUCUCAUUCUUUACUGUAAAUCUGACAGCUUCCAGUG